GAAUCAGUACGCUGGUCGUGCCUUCGGUAUGUACUGGUGUCACUGGUUUCUCCCUUCUGAAGAACCAUCAUGCCAUUUACUUGGUGUGGUGGGGAAUCAGGACUGUUACUUUGAAAAAAUUAGAGUGUUUAAAGCAGGCUAACGUCUGAAUACAUUAGCAUGGAAUAAUGAAAUAGGACG
rnacentral:rRNA from 1 species